GUGGGAUCCUCCCGGACCGGGGCACGAACCUGCGCCCCCUGCAUCGGCAGGCGGACUCCCAACCACUGCGCCACCAGGGAAGCCCGCUGCUCUUUCUCUUAAUGUUCUGGGUCCCUUUUGGCCUCCUGAGCUCCUCUCCAGUACCCUCCUUGGGGAUAUCCCUUGGCCAGGUGGGCUGUUGCCGCUCAACUUGGGCCUAGGGAAGGGUCCCUCUGCAGCGUCUCUCACUGGAGAGCCAGAGCCCUCUUCUUGCAGGGAGGUGGGGCACUGGGCCCACAGAAUCCCGCUUAGCUUGGAGACUGUGCAGCAGAUUAAUUGCAGCUGUGCCCUGGAAUUUCCCCAACAUACAAAUCUUCAUGAUGUAAAACAGCUGGGAGGAAAUCCCAGCAUGCCCUGUCCAGAGGCAGAACUGCCAAUGAGCUCUGGAGAUUAACCCUCCGCCUCCCAGAAGGUAGGAACGGCCCCUCCCCCAGCCAGGCCCCCCAGUUCCAAGCUUGCUUUGGUGGAGACGGGAGUCUCCAGGACUCUUGGGAACGCCCACGUUCUCCCCACUCACACGUUCUCACAGAAAACCCUUUAAGCAGGGCCCGGGCAAGAGAGGAAGCAAAGCCUCAUGUCACAGACUCAAUCGCAGUGUUCCCGGAGGGGGGUGCCCUGCAGCCGGAAGUCAGGAAGCAAGUCAGCUCCAAAAGAUGCCCAGAGCAGAAGCUUACCCACUUUAGGUGACCAGCCUUUCCUGCCUCUCUGGGCCCCAGUGGUGAAUGGAGAUUCUGGGACCCCAUGAAUAGAGAAAAGGCCUUCCCAGGAUUCCCUCCCAGGAGAUGAUAUGGUGCGGCAGCCACCCAGGAGCACAGGCUAGAAACCCAACCCCACAGGCAGAUGGCCGUCCACCCCACAGUGACGAGGACGUCGUGCAAAAUGCUCUCCGCUUCCUUUUAAAGAUGAUCUUUAACAUCAAGAAUCGUAUUAUAAAGGAAAAAUGUGAACAGUC